rnacentral:rRNA from 1 species
AACGAACGCUGGCGGCAGGCUUAACACAUGCAAGUCGAGCGCCCCGCAAGGGGAGCGGCAGACGGGUGAGUAACGCGUGGGAAUCUACCCAUCUCUACGGAAUAAGGCAUGGAAACGUGUGCUAAUACCGUAUACGUCCUUCGGGAGAAAGAUUUAUCGGAGAUGGAUGAGCCCGCGUUGGAUUAGCUAGUUGGUGGGGUAAAGGCCUACCAAGGCGACGAUCCAUAGCUGGUCUGAGAGGAUGAUCAGCCACACUGGGACUGAGACACGGCCCAGACUCCUACGGGAGGCAGCAGUGGGGAAUAUUGGACAAUGGGCGCAAGCCUGAUCCAGCCAUGCCGCGUAAGUGAUGAAGGCCCUAGGGUUGGAAAGCUCUUUCACCGGUGAAGAUAAUGACGGUAACCGGAGAAGAAGCCCCGGCUAACUUCGUGCCAGCCGCCGCGGUAAAAC